UACGGAGGGUGCGAGCGUUAUUCGGAAUUACUGGGCGUAAAGCGCGUGCAGGCGGUUGGGUCAGUCUGAUGUGAAAGCCCCGGGCUUAACCUGGGAAGUGCAUUGGAUACUGCUCGACUUGAGUACUGGAGAGGAAGGGAGAAUUCCCGGUGUAGAGGUGAAAUUCGUAGAGAUCGGGAGGAACACCAGUGGCGAAGGCGCCCUUCUGGACAGCUACUGACGCUGAGACGCGAGAGCGUGGGGAGCAAACAGG
rnacentral:rRNA from 1 species